rnacentral:RNase_P_RNA from 1 species
GGUGAUCGCGAUCGGGGGGCAGCGGUCUUCGGGCCGCCGGUCCGCCCGGUUGAGGAAAGUCCGGGCUCCCCAAUGGCCAGGCUUGCUGGGUAACGCCCAGUGCGGGUGACCGCGAGGAGAGUGCCACAGAAAAACACCGCCGAUGGCCGGGGCUUGUCCCCGUGCACAGGCAAGGGUGCAAAGGUGCGGUAAGAGCGCACCAGCAGCAUCGAGAGGUGCUGGCUCGGUAAACCCCGGCCGGGAGCAAGGCCCAGGGACAACGGUUGGCCAUGACACCCGUCCCGCCACAAGUGCGCCGCUCGAGGCCGUCGGAGACGGCGGUCCCAGACAGAUGAUCGCC